UGGGGAGUCGGCAAGUGGUAAGCCAGCGGUCUUUGGAACCGCCUAUCGGAGGUUCGAAUCCUCCCUCCCCAGCCA
rnacentral:tRNA from 1 species